AACCUGGGAACUGCAUUGAAACUGGUCAACUAGAGUAUGGUAGAGGAAAGUGGAAUUUCUGGUGUAGCGGUGAAAUGCGUAGAUAUCAGAAGGAACAUCAAUGGCGAAGGCAGCUUUCUGGACCAAUACUGACGCUGAGGUACGAAAGCGUGGGUAGCAAACAGGAUUAGAUACCCUGGUAGUCCACGCCGUAAACGAUGAUAACUAGCCGUUGGGGGGAUUUACCCUUUAGUGGCGAAGCUAACGCGUUAAGUUAUCCGCCUGGGGAGUACGGCCGCAAGGUUAAAACUCAAAGGAAUUGACGGGGACCCGCACAAGCGGUGGAGCAUGUGGUUUAAUUCGAUGCAACGCGAAGAACCUUACCUGGUCUUGACAUCCUGCGUACUUUCUAGAAAUAGAUUGGUGCCUUCGGGAACGCAGUGACAGGUGCUGCAUGGCUGUCGUCAGCUCGUGUCGUGAGAUGUUGGGUUAAGUCCCGUAACGAGCGCAACCCCUAUCCUUAUUUGCCAGCACGUCAUGGUGGGAACUACAAGGAGACUGCCGGUGAUAAACCGGAGGAAGGCGGGGACGACGUCAAGUCAUCAUGGCCCUUACGACCAGGGCUACACACGUGCUACAAUGGGAAGGACAAAGAGCCGCGAAGCCGCGAGGUGUAGCUAAUCUCAGAAACCUUUUCGUAGUCCGGAUUGGAGUCUGCAACUCGACUCCAUGAAGUCGGAAUCGCUAGUAAUCGUAGAUCAGAAUGCUACGGUGAAUACGUUCCCGGGUCUUGUACACACCGCCCGUCAUACCAUGGGAGUGGGUUGCACCAGAAG
rnacentral:rRNA from 1 species